GCAAGUGGCGCAGAUGCUGGACAAAGCCCACAGAGUAGAACCACAAAGUGUGCAGUGGAGGAGGCUGCUGCAGCCUGGCCCCCCUCCCCGCCUCUGGCCGUUACCUCUUCCUGGAAGGAUGAGGAGGAAGAAGAGGAGGAAGGAGAGAAGCUAAUGGCAGAGCUGCAGGCAUUCCAGAAGUGUUCCCUUAUGGAUAUAAACUCACACAGUCAUGCUGAGCAGUCCCGGGCUGACAGCCACGUUAACGACACUAGGCCAGGUGCCACAGCCCUGCCCAAGGAGAAGAAGAAUUUGGAAUUUUUCCACGAAGAUGUUCAGAAAUCUGAUGUUGAAUAUGAAAAUGGGCCCCAUGUGGAGUCUCAGGUUGCCACGGGGGUUCGGAGACCCGGGGACCCUCUUAAGUGGGAAACAGGACUGGAGAAUAGUAUUCCUGAGGCAUCAAGAAUAUCAGAAUAUAAAACUGACAACCUAAUGAAGGAAAGUUCCCUAUCCAAUAAAACUUUAUUCAGGGACAGCAGAAACUAUUCCCAGAAAAAUGUGCCGAAGGUCAAUUUCAUUCUCACUGGAAUUCAUUCCCUCGAAGAUGAAAUAAACAAAGGGCCUGAAGUCCCAGCACUGCAGCACCCGCUACCUGACACUGAGGCUCUGGAGGUGACUUAUGGGAAGAUGAAAGAGACGGGUCAGCAAGCACAAGAAAACACAGAGAAGCCUCACAUUCCCGCCACCGCGUGGUCAACAGAGCCGAGCGUCCGCGAGAUCAAGAUGCAAGAUCAAGCCACGCUCAUGACAGAUCCUGGCCAAGUUGUGCUGAGACCCAAAGCGACAAGGCAGAGUAAUGGGGCUUCUCCUCGUGAGAAGGGAGAGUCUACCCCAAGAUCUCCCACCGAAGAGAAUGCCGCCGCCGACAACAUCGCCUUCAUGAUUACCAAAACCGCUGUCCAGGUCCUGUCCAGUGGUGAGGUCCAUGCUAUAGUGAGCCAGAAGGGGCAGGAGGUCCAGACGGUGAACAUCGAUGCCAGGAAGGAGACAGCUUCACAACAGGAAGGGGCUGAACAUGAAGAGCCAGUCGUGUGCCUGGACAAAAAGCCAGUCAUCAUCAUUUUUGAGGAGCCCAUGGACAUCCGGUCUGCCUACAAGAGGCUUUCCACCAUCUUUGAGGAGUGUGAUGAGGAGCUGGAGAGAAUGAUGACAGAGGAAAAGAUAGAGGAGGAGGAGGAGGAGGAGGAGGAGGAGGAGAAUGGAGACCCCGCCGUCCAGAAUAACACUUCCCAAAAGUCCCUUCCGCAGGUGGCCCCUGGCAGUCUUCGCGUGGGACAGCAGGAGGUAACGAAAUUCCAGCCAGGCCUCCUGUCCACGGAGACCAGGACCUCGGGAGGACAGGAAACGUAUCAAAGCGAGCCAAGCACGUCCAGUGCAGCAGACUUCCCCAAUUCUGACGGCAAGUGUGACACGGCCGAUGACCAAUUUGAAAGCCCCAAGAAAAAGUUUAAAUUCAAGUUCCCUAAAAAGCAACUUGCUGCCCUCACUCAGGCGAUUCGCACCGGAACCAAGACAGGAAAGAAGACCCUCCAAGUGGUGGUCUACGAGGAGGAGGAGGAGGACGGCGCCCUGAAGCAGCACAAAGAAGCCAGGCGGUUCGAGAUCAGCCGGUCACAGCCUGAGGACGCCUUGAAAAAUGCGACUAGUAGACAAGAGCAGCCGAGGCAAGACAGCACCUGUCAGAUUUCGAGAACCGACGAGAUCAGAAAAAAUACCUACAGGACGCUGGACAGCCUGGAGCAGACCCUAAAACAGCUGGAAAACACCAUCAGUGAAAUGAAUCCCAAAGCCCUAGUGGAAACUUCCUGUACUUCCGACAGAGAUUCGGGGGCAGGCUCGGCCCACGAGGCCUCUCCCCGAAACUUGCUAGCUCUGGAUGAAGCCCCCCCUGCCCCAGAGCCCCCCACAUCCAUAUCUUCGGCUUCACGUAAGGCCUCCAGUGGGACCCCUCCAACGAGCCGGAUGCCCGUCCCCAUGAGCUCCAAGAGCCGCCCCGCCAGCCUGGACAAGCCCAGCAAGCAGUCCAAACUGCAGGACCCCCGCCAGCUCCGUCAGGCUAAUGGAAGUGCUAAGAAAGCUGGUGGGGAUUGUAAGCCUACUUCCCCGUCCUUACCUGCUUCUAAGAUUCCAGCCCUUUCUCCCAGCUCUGGGAAAAGCAGUUCCCUGCCCUCCGCUAGUGCUGACGGCUCUAACCUCCCUCAUCCACCGGCUGCUAAACCGGCGACCGCUUCUAACCCUCUCAGCCCCCAAGCAGGACGGCCGGUGCUCUCGCUCUCCGCCUGCCUCAUCCCGUCCGUCCCUAACGGCUCCUUGAAGUCCCAGAGCCCCGCGGCUCACGCGGGGAAGGGCCCCCACCCCGGCUCCUCACCGCAGACGCCCAACGGCCGCGCGGCCCUCUCCCCGCCCUCCCUGACCCAGGGCGCCAGGGCCGUCAGGAUCGUCCACGCCCCCAGCCUCACCAGCUACAAGGCGCAGAACGGAAGUUCCGGCAAAGCCACCCCGUCCACAGCAAAGGAGACCUCGUAAAGGCCAAAUCCUGUGCGGCGCAAGCUGGAAUUACUUCUUCUUCUUUUUGUUUUUUUCUUUUCCUUUUAGCAGUCUACAACUGUGUUUACCAGAGAAUGUAAAAUAGCGCUGUACCAUUUGAGGCUUCGUGCAUAGUGUCUGCUCAGUACUGGAUUGAUAGAUUUCGGUAAAGCGUGUUUUGUUUUUUACUUUGUUGCUGUCGUAACUACAUAAUGUUGACUGUCUACACUCAAUACCUACUAAAGGAAGUGAGCAUGUGCUACGAGAAGAGUGGAGAGAGCAACUGUGUGAGAGAUGGGAAAAUUGUAUGAAGCAUGUAAAACAUGUAUGAUUCCAGAAACUUAGUAUGUUUUGUAUAAAAAUAUUUUUCAUUAUGGAGACUAGAAGUGAACAGAGAAAUACACAAGUGUGACUAUAUGAAUUGUAAAACAGAUACUAUAAUAUUUCCUUUUAUUUUAGUGUUAUUUAGCUUUAUUACAGAUUUCUAUUUUUGUCAAAACUUCACGGUUCCUUUCAAGAUCUUUUUUGCCAAAACAUUUUGAUACUAUAUAGCAUUGUACAUUUGAAAGUAGACACUAGACGAUAAGCCAGUGAACUUCUACACAAGCCAAUAGGGAGACAUAUUUAGGAAGCAAUUCAUCAAAACGAUUGCACUGCCAUGAAAAGUAGGUAUAAUAAUUUGUUAGCCCACGCAAGCUAGUUUUCUUUCCUUUUUUUUCCUCCUUCCUUUUCUUCUUCAAAUUUUAACAUAUUGAGAUUCUCUAGUUGUUUUCUUUGGAAUAUCUAGCCCCUUUAUUUUCUGAGACCUGGUCACCCACACUAUUACAUUGUGGAUUUUAAAAUGUACACUUCUGUAUGGUUCUGUAAACUGAUCCACUUUUGUAAAUAUAUAAAUACCAAUAGACAUAAAAAUACUGUAUGUGACCACACAUAGAGUAGUUUUCCCACACCAAAGUUAAUUUUUAUGCAUGCUUUAAAAAUAUAUAUUGGGAUGGGUAGAAAUGGGACUAUCCACACAUUUUUAAAAAGCAACAAAUUUGCACAGUUGGAGUGUUUUUGUAAAUAAAUGUAUUUGUAUAACACCGUCAUGUAAUAUACAGAACUAUAAGCAGAGACUUUGCAAAACUAAAUAAAGGGCUGCAUGCUUAUUAUUUUUUGUACCUUGUCACUAUAAUUACUUCCUAGUCAAAGAACAACAGGCAGUUCUUACCAGGUGAAGUGUUUUUGGCUUGAGGGCAUUAUAAAACCUGUAACAUCCGCUCGGAUGCUGCUGCUUUUCGGAAAGCGCUGGGGGCUGAUGAGGGGCCUAAUAAAUUAAUUGCAAGUGUGGAGCCUUGGGUGUGGGCUGCUGACUCUUUCCUGGGGCUUCUCAGAGGCUGACAGCCAGCCGGAACGCCAGUGUCCCUCACCUGCCGAGGAACUCCUGCUGCCUUCCUUCUCUCUCUCACCCAGCACGAGGAAAGUGGAAGGAAAAUGUCUUCAUCACCACUGGGAUUUUUUGUUUUAGUUUUCAAUUUUAAAAUACAGUGUUGCUCUGGAGGGAUGUACUAACAUGACACUAUAUGUUUUUGUUUAAGAAUGGAAGGAAAGUUGGUGAGAAUACCAAGACACUGUAUGUACUACAGGGACAACCUCAGGAGCCUGCUUAUCAUUAGUUUUCAAAUAUUUAACUCGGUGGUUUGACAUGAAGACCAGACAGUCCUGCCCUUUAGAGCCCACUUGUAUGUUCUCACACUUCACAAUUAACCAGGUGGGAAGCCUUCACCAGAAACAGUUUCGGAUGUCUCAUUACAGUUGUGGUAGUCACAUGUUUCAGAGAGUGUGUAGGAAAGUGUUUAGGCGUAAAAGGUUCCAACAUUUCAGUCGCAUCCUAUAAUCUCAACGACUACAUUUGUAUAUAAAAUAUACAAAGAAUGAUCAAAAGAUAUGGUGAAUUUAUUUUUUAAAUUGUGAGACCAGGCCGGGGAUUUAGCUUAGUGGUUCUGCCACCUACCUCGAAAGUGCAGGUCCCGAGUUCGAUCCCCGGUACCAAAAUAAAGCUUGUGAGACAGGGUCUCAUUAUAUAGGCUGGCUUACAGUCACUAUGUAGCACAGGCUGGCCUUGAACAUACGUGAUCCUCCUGCCCCAGCCUCUUGAGUGCUGGGAUUACAGACAUGUGCCACCAUGCUUGGCUUAGAUAUCUUAAAAGUCAAUCACAAUAAAAGACAUUGCUGCUAAUCCCCUUGAAAGUACCCACUGGCUUCUCAUCAGUCUUGCCAGUAGCAGCAGUUCUCAGUCCUUUUUUGUGAGCGUCUUUAACUGGGCCUCACUACACGGAACCAAUUUGAAAUGCGUACCUUUGAUGGGAACUUUUACCUUUAGGAAGCCCCAAAAGCCGCAGGGUAGGGUACCGGAGCGAGGUGGGCAAGGGCGCAGAAAUCCGCUGACAGCCGGGCCUCGGCCAGGGCGCUGGGCAGCAGCAGCCUUCACCGAGACCACACUGGCAGGGACGGGAGAGGACGCCCAGAACCGCAGGAAAGUGCCCAGGCAAAGGGAAGUCUUGGGAGGUGGGUUAAUGGCAAUGUGUCUUUUACUACAAUAAAUUUUAAUUUGAACGUUCCCUGUGUCUUUUCAUCGCACUUCAGCUAAUACAUAGCGAGUGGAAGCAUUUUGUGAGGCCCAGUGUAAUAGCUGGCGAUUUCCUGCCAGUUCGCUGGCUCCCUCUUAGGCACGCUGAGAACCACGCAGCUGAACAGCAGUUUGGCUCCCUUUGUCAGUUCGACCCGGAUUCCGCAGAGCUCAGGCGGUCAGAGAACGUGGGUAGGGUCCACUUCAGCCAGCGACGGAUCCCCCGAUUCCCCGGCCUCACGAGAGGGGAGCCUGGCGUAGCCGGGCUGCGGAUCCAGGGCCGCGCGGGCCCAGGAGCUCGCCGGACACAGCUUCGCUGCGGUUCAUGGUCUGGUAGCUCCCUGGUGCCGGCGGGAGAGCUCCCCUGCC
rnacentral:lncRNA from 1 species